ACUGUUCCGGAACAUUCCGUACAUUGGUAAUACGAAUCGAACUUUCUGUGAAUAUUUAGCGUUAGCUGGGAUAUAUCACAUUCAA